rnacentral:lncRNA from 1 species
GAGCCCGUAAAUGAAUGACAUCAAAUUUUCAAACAUUUGUUAGUUCCUAUGGCAUGUCGCACUUCCAAUGGUAUUUUUUACCUGAAUAAUAAUAUGGCAAACAUAAGGCAGAAGAUACCAAACUCAUAAGUGGACAAAAAUAUUAACAACGCAUUGAAAAAAAAUACGAUGAAAUAGCAAACCUUUCUCAGUGAGAAAAAAAAACGACACAAAAAAUUAAAGACUAAAAAUAAUGUGAACCACAAAAAUAAAAACAGGGUUGAACAUGGGUGUCGCCGUGAAUUUGAGCCGUUUUUGCCACAAAACAUUGAUAUUACCUUGUUCUAAACAAAUACCCGAUCAGACGCGGAUGUUUGAUUUUGAAAAGAUUGGGGGGGGGGGCAAAAGAGGGGUCCUGCCGCGGCCUCUCGCUCGGUUAAAUCCUCCUCUGCCGAUUGCAUUUCAAUGAAACAUCAGAGAAACUGUAGUCGUCCAUAAAGUGCAUUAUACUUUCUAUUUCAUCUUUUUCACUCGAAUUAUUCUUUCUGGGCGUUUUUUUAGGUGGGGGCAAACAUCGACUCUGCGAUCGCAUCUGAGAAUUAUAUAUUAUUGUACAUCUCUAUAAUUUUCCUCUUCUUUCUUGCAUUUCUUUUUUGUUUCCCUUGGUAAAUGUAGUAUGUGCUCACAAAACAAAAAAAAAAAAUGUCGACUUCCCUUGUAUCAUGAGCAACUAAUGGAAGUUUUUAAUGACCUUGACUGGCUAUACAGCCUUGCACGGUCGGUAUUAUGAGCCGAUGAUCGACGUUGGUUAUCAUAUAUAGUCUGCCAGUAAUUUUCCUUUUUUUUUUCAUUUUUAGUUCCUUUUUUUUAAUUUCUUUGACUUGCGAUUUGAAUUAAUCCCCGCUUAAAUCAGGUCGCUAUAAUAUAGUAUUCACUAUUUAAUUGUCGUUUUGUUCAGUGUUGAAGUCCAUACAGUUAGUAUAGAUUUUUUACAUCCUUCUCAUUUGGUCUUGGGUGGAGUGCUGUCUCGUUGACAAUCAUACAUAUCGUCAUGCAUCUUCUUCGAUUGUGAAAUUUUGGAAAUUGCUUCCAGUUUCCAGUAACAAAAGCAACUGCUUGUCUAAUUGUCGAUAUUGGAGACUCAAAUCAGAAUUUACACUAAACAUGUCCCCUUUUCGUAUUUUUACAUUUCUACAUACAACGUUUUAAAUGUAUAACACUAAGAAGACUGUAUUAAAUUCGUAAAUACCGAUAAAAAAGGUAGUUGUUUUGUGUGUAAAAUAUCAAUUAAUUAAUAAUCAAACUUAGCAUUCGUACUAUUCAGUUUUAGUAUAUUGUGAUAUAUAUGUGUUUUCAAACAUUACAUGUUGACUGCGAUAGAUUGAAUAACAAAUCAGAUCAUUUUAAAAACAAAAACGGUAUCCCAUACUUUUUUUAGCACUGAGAAAGAGGGCGUUUCUUAUUAUGCCUAAGCAGUUUUUUCUUUGCUGUCAAAAUCAUGUUCAAG